ensembl:lncRNA
CCUCCCGUCCCGCCUCCUCUUCCUCUCGCCUUGGUCCGCUCUCCUUGCCUUGCUUGGUCGUCUUUCUUACCCUCCUUCCUGCUGAAAUUCCUCCUCUUCCUUCCUUUUCUUGCUCUCCUUCCUCCCGUCCCACCUCCUCUUCCUCUCUCCUUGUCCCGCUCUCCUUCCUCUGCUUCAUCAUCUUUCCUUCCUUCCUUCCUCCUUCCUUCCUCCUCUUUCUUCCUUUUCUUCCUCUCCUUCCUCCCGUCCCGCCUCCUCUUCCUCUCUCCUUAUCCCGCUCUCCCUGCCUUGCUUGGUCGUCAUUCCUACCCUCCUUCUUCCUGAACUUCCUCCUCUUUCUUCCUUUUCUUCUUUUCCUUCCUCUUCUUCAUCCUCCUCUUCCUCUCUUCGUAUCCUCCUCUCCUUCCUCUGCUUCGUCAUCUUUCCUCUCAUCCUUCCUCCUGAACUUCCUCCUCUUCCUUCNNNNNNNNNNNNNNNNNNNNNNNNNNNNNNNNNNNNNNNNNUCCUCCUUUUCCUUCCCUUUUCUUCUUUUCUUUCCUCUUCUUCAUCCUCUUUUUCCUCUCAUCCUUCUCUCCUUCCUCUCCUUCGUCAUCUUUCCUCUCAUCCUUCCUCCUGAACUUCCUCCUCUUCCUUCCUUUUCUUCCUCUCCUUCCUCCCGUCCCGCCUCCUCUUCCUCUCUCCUUAUCCCGCUCUCCUUGCCUUGCUUGGUCGUCUUUUCUCCCCUCCUUCCUGCUGAACUUCCUCCUCUUCCUUCCAUUUUCUUCUUUUCCUUCCUCUUCUUCAUCCUCCUCUUCCUCUCUCCUUGGUCCGCUCUCCUUGCCUUGCUUGGUCGUCUUUCUUACCCUCCUUCCUCCUGAACUUCCUCCUCUUCCUCCCUCCUUGUUCUCCUCUCUUCCCUCUCCUUCAUCAUCUUUCCUCCUCUCUUUCCUCCUGAAUUUCCUCCUCUUUCUUCCUUUUCUUGCUCUCCUUCCUCUUCUUCAUCCUCCUCUUCCUCCCUCCUUGUCCCACUCUCCUUCCUCUCCUUUGUCAUCUUUUUUCCUCUUUUUCUUCCUGAACAUUUUCCUCUUCUUUCCUUUUUUCCUUUCCUUCCUCUUCUUCAUCUUCCUCUUCCUCUCUCCUUUUUCUCCUCUUUUUCCUCUGCUUUACCUUCCUUCCUUUCCUCAUUUCUCAUCUCCUGCCUCUUCUUUCUCCAUUUUCUCUUCCUUCUCCUGCUCUUCCUAAACUUCCUCUCUUCCUUCCUUCCUUCCUGCCCUUCAUCCCUUCUUUUCCUCCUCUCUUUUCUUCUGCUCUUCUCCUUUUCUUCCUCCUGAAUCUCUUCUUUUUCCUUCCUUGUUUUCUUUCCUUCCUCUUCCUAUUCUUCAUCUUUUCCUGCUUCCUCUUCCUCUCUCCUUUUCCUCCUCUCUUUCCUCUACUUCAUCUCCUUUCCUCCCCUCCUUCCUUCCCUUUCCUCCUAAACUUCCUCUUCCUCCUUCCCUUCUUUUCCACCUCUCUUUCCUCUCCUUCCUCCUCACUUUUCCUCCUAAACUUCUCCCUUCCUCCUCCUCUCCUUCCUCCUCUCUUCCUCCCCCCCCUUUUCUUCCUGAACCUCUUCCUCUCCUUCCUCUUCCUUUUUCCUCUUCCUUUUUCCUCUCUCCUAAACUUUUCCCUUCCUCUUCUCCUCUUUU